rnacentral:rRNA from 1 species
GACUACUGCUAUUGGGAUUCGACUAAGCCAUGCGAGUCAAGGUGUCUUCGGACGCCGGCGUACGGCUCAGUAACACGUAGGUAACCUACCCUCAGGACUGAGAUAACCCCGGGAAACUGGGGCUAAUAUUAGAUAGAUAAAAGGUACUGGAAUGUUCUUUUAUCCAAAGCUUUUGCGCCUGAGGAUGGGCCUGCGUCCGAUUAGGUUGUUGGUGGGGUAAUGGCCCACCAAGCCUGCGAUCGGUACGGGCAGUGAGAGCUGAAGCCCGGAGUUGGGGACUGAGACAAGGCCCCAGGCCCUACGGGGCGCAGCAGGCGCGAAACCUCUGCAAUGCGGGAAACCGUGACAGGGGGAUCCCAAGUGCUCAUGCAUUGCAUGGGCUGUUCUUUGGUCUAAGUAACCAGAGGAGUAAGGGCUGGGCAAGACCGGUGC